rnacentral:rRNA from 1 species
UACAGAGACUGCAAGCGUUAUUCGGAUUUACUGGGCGUAAAGGGCGCGUAGGCGGCCACCGCAAGUCGAUUGUGAAAUCUCCGGGCUUAACCCGGAAAGGUCAACCGAUACUGCGGGGCUAGAGUGCAGAAGGGGCAACUGGAAUUCUCGGUGUAGCGGUGAAAUGCGUAGAUAUCGAGAGGAACACCUGCGGCGAAGGCGGGUUGCUGGGCUGACACUGACGCUGAUGCGCGAAAGCUAGGGGAGCGAACGGG